rfam:Solanum lycopersicum cultivar Heinz 1706 chromosome 3, whole genome shotgun sequence.
GGCCAGUGAUGUAAUUAUAUAUUUGCUACUCUUGAUGGGACUUUAUUUAAUUUCCAUCUGAUGAUUCCUUGUCCACCAAGAUCUCUGAGGCC